AGAAACGGUUCAUGUGGAUUUACGUAGUAAUUUGUGAUUGGCUAUUGGCAUCUCCUUUUUCAAAUUGAAUCAUUCGCAAGUUUAAACAAUUGUUUUCAUUACGUGUUUCGCGAAGCAGAGAUUGAUGUGCAGAGAUUUGAUAAUAAUAUAUGUAAACAUUUAGAUGACA